UACGGAGGGUGCAAGCGUUAAUCGGAAUUACUGGGCGUAAAGCGCACGUAGGUGGUUUUACUAAGCCAGCUGUGAAAUCCCCCGGGCUCAACCUGGGCACUGCAGUUGGAACUGGUAAGCUAGAGUAGGGUAGAGGGGUGUGGAAUUCCAGGUGUAGCGGUGAAAUGCGUAGAUAUCUGGAGGAACAUCAGUGGCGAAGGCGACACCCUGGACUCAUACUGACACUGAGGUGCGAAAAGCGUGGGGAGCAAACAGG
rnacentral:rRNA from 1 species